CUGGCUCAGGACGAACGCUGGCGGCGUGCCUAAUACAUGCAAGUCGAGCGAACAGAGAAGGAGCUUGCUCCUUCGACGUUAGCGGCGGACGGGUGAGUAACACGUGGGCAACCUACCUUAUAGUUUGGGAUAACUCCGGGAAACCGGGGCUAAUACCGAAUAAUCUGUUUCACCUCAUGGUGAAACACUGAAAGA
rnacentral:rRNA from 1 species